rnacentral:rRNA from 1 species
UACGUAGGCAGCGAGCGUUGUUCGGAAUUACUGGGCGUAAAGAGUGUGUAGGCGGUGCUCUAAGUUUGGUGUGAAAUCUCCCGGCUUAACUGGGAGGGUGCGCCGAAGACUGGAGUGCUCGAGCGUGGGAGAGGAAAGCGGAAUUCCAGGUGUAGCGGUGAAAUGCGUAGAUAUCUGGAGGAACACCGGUGGCGAAGGCGGCAUCCUGGACCAAUACUGACACUGAGGAGCGAAAGCCAGGGGAGCAAACGGG